UGGGGAAUUUUGGACAAUGGGGGCAACCCUGAUCCAGCCAUGCCGCGUGAGUGACGAAGGCCUUCGGGUUGUAAAGCUCUGUUGUCGGGGAAGAACACCUUCCAUGUGAAUAAUGUGGAGGGAUGACGGUACCCGACGAGGAAGCCACGGCUAACUACGUGCCAGCAGCCGCGGUAAUACGUAGGUGGCGAGAGUUGUCCGGAAUUAUUGGGCGUAAAGCGCGCGCAGGCGGGAAAGUAAGUCCACUUUAAAAGUGCGGGGCUCAACCCCGGGAUGGGGUGGAAACUGCUUUUCUUGAGUGCCGGAGAGGAAAGCGGAAUUCCCAGUGUAGCAGUGAAAUGCGUAGAUAUUGGGAGGAACACCAGUGGCGAAGGCGGCUUUCUGGACGGUGUCUGACGCUGAGGCGCGAAAGCCAGGGGAGCGAACGGG
rnacentral:rRNA from 1 species